UACGUAGGGUGCAAGCGUUGUCCGGAAUUAUUGGGCGUAAAGAGCUCGUAGGCGGUUUGUCGCGUCUGCUGUGAAAACUCGGGGCUUAACUCCGGGCCUGCAGUGGGUACGGGCAGACUAGAGUGCGGUAGGGGAGACUGGAAUUCCUGGUGUAGCGGUGAAAUGCGCAGAUAUCAGGAAGAACACCCGUGGCGAAGGCGGCACUCUGGGCCGAUACUGACACUGAGGAGCGAAAGCGUGGGGAGCAAACAGG
rnacentral:rRNA from 1 species